CCCCUCUCAGGGUCACACCUGGAGAGUUUCCAGGACUCUACCAGCCCCAACUAUAGGAGGGAGAGUCUGGCAGAGGCACUUCCAUUCCAUUCCUAGCUUGAGUAGUGGCUAGCGAGUGGAAGGUAAUCUGCUACAGGU